GAAUAUUGCAGAGAAUGAGUCUUCUUUGGUGGUCCAGCCACAUCAGUCCUUAUACUUCACAGGGUGAGUGAUAAAAACAUGAAGACCAGGUACGGUGGCUCACGCCUGUAAUCCCAGCACUUUGGGAGGAGUGAAGUGGAGGAAGAGGUACCUUGAAACUACAGAGGAGGAAACUGAGGCCCAGAGGGGAAAAGUGACUUGAUUGACAAAAAUUCGAUUCUGGUCUUUGUUCUGCCAAAGGCUGCCAGAACCUUUGCUUGUAGUGCAAGCACAACCAUAUUGCUGGAAGUGAAAUUUGCAGUCUGCUCUAUCAGAUGGUUUCUGCGCAUGGGCUGUUACUAUGUUCAAAGCAUUAAACUGCCUAGAAGUGGAUUAUUUACAGAGCUUCUCUCUUCCCAGAGCUGCUGAUAGGUGGCAAUUCAGCCUCUUCGCCCUAAUGCACACUUUCUCACUUUCCACCGAGACUCUUUGUUUGCUGACAGCAUCUGGCUAUCCUGGGUACUUGCCUCAGCUGGCUCAGUUCUCUCCAAUCCCUAGAAGAAACAGCCCUCACCUACAUGCCAGAGAUGAAAUAAGAUUUCAGCUCAAAGCUAGCAACCUUUCUCUGAAGUGGUGUCACACCCAGACAGAGAAAUAAAUGUGUUGUUUCUUCUUAGAUAAUGAGAAGUCAGUCUUUCAGGCAGACUUUUGACACAGGGAGGAUCAAGGUUUGACUACCUUUGAGUAAUCCUUGCAGAGAAAACAGCACCUAAUUGGACAUAGGAAGAAAGGAACCAGCUGCUACUGUCAUGAUUAUUUAAACACCCAUCCACAGUCAAAAACGCUGCAUUGUUUCAUUACAAGUGAAAUUUGAUUGCUGCUACAUUUCUUGCUGGCCUCCCGUCUAUGCAAAUUGGGGAGAAAGAAAUUCAUAAGGCACCAGAACCCAUUUGCCUUCUAAAUGUACUGUUUGCAUAUAGACAUCAGCAGCCUGAAUAAAUCCUAGUGAGAAAUGUCAAACCAACCUCACUGGCUAUUUUUCUAUUUUUCUCCCUGAAAAUAUCGUUUUUAACACGUUCACAAAGGCAAGCUAGAUUCUGUGUUAUCGAUGUUUUAGUAAAAGACGAGUGGGGUGGUGGGUCAGUAGUGGGCAUCAGACAUUAAUGAAAACCAUUUUGGGAGAGUUCAAUUUAUAAAAGAUUAAAAUAAUUCAUCAACUUGCAAAAAA